GUUGGUAGUCACAGCGGGUUUGUGAAUAACUAAAAGAAAAAUUUGUUCUACUUCCUCUGUCCAUUAUUUUGUUUAGAAUUAUACUGUCGAGUCGCGCUAUCGACAGCUUCGCAUAGGUUAUUGUUAUGAAAUUUUUGCAGAUCUGACUGUGGAAGCAUUCCCCAUCAAACGAUCCAAUGGAAAAAUUUAAAUUUAUAAUCGCACGGAGAAAAAGUAUUUUUAAAUGGCAAACUUAAAUCGGUGUUUGGAUGUGCGUUUCCUGUUAUGCGCAGUGUGGAAGCACAAAGGCGACUCCAUAUUAGUGGUAGGCGGUUGCCGUGCAAUAAAAAGUUAGUUUUUGUUUCGGAAGGUGUUGCAGGAUUGUGACGUUGUGUUGUAGAUUAGAAACGAAAUAAAUUACUUGCUGGUUUGGGUACGGUUGCUCCGCGGCGCUCGACGAAUAAAUCGGCGCCUUGUUAACCUAUAUUAUACCUACAACGGCCGUGUGACCAUAUACAGUGUAUUUAUUUUUCUAACUUAAAUCUUGUUAUUCCUUUAAUUAAGUAAUAUGGCUUCGAUAACCUUGUUAUAGUAAUUAGAUUAAACUUAAUACAUAGGGAAUAUAAGAACAAAUUAGUGGUUUGAAAUUGAGUACCACACCCAGCAAACCGCGAUGGACGUUCUUCAAAGAACUAUAAAUUAUCUAUAAGUGCAUUCAGUGUUAAUUAAUUGUGGAUGGUAACGAGGUCGAGCCUCGAUUUUUGUGCCGAGCAUGACCAUGGCGUGCUGUCAGUCGGACGAGGUUAGGGAGCAAAAGCGUAUUAACCAAGAAA